rnacentral:misc_RNA from 1 species
GCGGACACGAUCACUCAUAAUUAUUCCUUAAAUUCACCUUGUAAAUAUCGAUUACCUGCCAAAAAACAAUCCAGCUACAUCGGUCACCGACACCAGAUACAAACCUUUUAUAUCAAAAGCUUACAAUUAAUAAAUGUAAUAUAACACACAACUAGGUGGCAAUUAUCAAUAACUAAUCAACCAUUAAAAAUCUAAAUUUACUGAAAAACUAGGCCACAAUAUAAAGUGGGUGUAAUAUGAACGCAUAUUGCACGAAAUAAGUGUUACAACGCCUAAAAAGGCACCAAAUAAGCCUUGGGAAUGUUGAUUUUGUUAAUGAAAACAACA